CGCGGGAUGGAGCAGCAUGGUAGCUCGUCGGGCUCAUGACCCGAAGGUCGGAGGUUCAAAUCCUUCUCCCGCUACCA
rnacentral:tRNA from 1 species